AACGAACGCUGGCGGCAUGCCUAACACAUGCAAGUCGAACGAGACCUUCGGGUCUAGUGGCGCACGGGUGCGUAACGCGUGGGAACCUGCCCUUAGGUUCGGAAUAACUCCCCGAAAGGGGUGCUAAUACCGGAUAAUGUCUUCGGACCAAAGAUUUAUCGCCUUUGGAUGGGCCCGCGUUGGUUUAGCUUGUUGGUAGGGUAAAAGCCUACCAAGGCGACGAUCCAUAGCUGGUCUGAGAGGAUGAUCAGCCACACUGGGACUGAGACACGGCCCAGACUCCUACAGGAGGCAGCAGUGGGGAAUAUUGGACAAUGGGCGAAAGCAUGAUCCAGCAAUGCCGCGUGAGUGAUGAAGGCCUUAGGGUUGUAAAGCUCUUUUACCCGGGAUGAUAAUGACGGUACCGGGAGAAUAAGCUCCGGCUAACUCCGUG
rnacentral:rRNA from 1 species